UACCAGCCGCCGCGGUAACACGGGGGGCGCAAGCGUUAUUCGGAAUUACUGGGCGUAAAGCGCGCGUAGGCGGCUAUUUAAGUCAGAUGUGAAAGUCCACGGCUCAACCGUGGAAGUGCAUUUGAAACUGGAUGGCUUGAGUACUGGAGGGGGUGGUGGAAUUCCCGGUGUAGAGGUGAAAUUCGUAGAUAUCGGGAGGAAUACCGGUGGCGAAGGCGACCACCUGGCCAGAUACUGACGCUGAGACGCGAAAGCGUGGGGAGCAAACAGGAUUAGAUA
rnacentral:rRNA from 1 species